UUAAGUGAACAAGGGCAUACGGCGGAUGCCUUGGCGCCAAGAGCCGAUGAAGGACGCGGUAAGCUGCGAAAAGGCAUGGGUAGGAGCAAGCAUCCUGUGAUCCAUGCAUAUCCGAAUGGGGCAACCCACCAUCAGUCAUGUGAUGGUACGAAAGAGGCAGACCUGGGGAACUGAAACAUCUAAGUACCCAGAGGAAAAGUAAUCAAUUGAGAUUCCCUAAGUAGCGGCGAGCGAAAGGGGAAGAGCCCAAACCAGAUAACUUCGGUUGUCUGGGGUUGAGGACCGGCAUAAAGAGGAAACUUCUUAGUCGAAUGGUUUGGAAAGGCCAUGCAUAGAAGGUAAAACACCUGUAGGCGAAAAGAAGUCAAUCGGGCUGGUAUCCAGAGUACUGCGAGACACGUGAAACCUUGCAGGAAGCAGGGGGGACCACCCUCCAAGGCAAAAUACUACUUGGCGACCGAUAGCGCAUAGUACCGUGAGGGAAAGGUGAAAAGAACCCCGGGAGGGGAGUGAAAUAGAACCUGAAACCGUAUGUCUACAAGCAGUCGAAGCACCUUAAGAGUGCGACGGCGUGCCUAUUGAAGAAUGAACCGGCGAGUUACAUUAUGUUGCGAGGUUAAGUGGGAGACACGGAGCCGAAGCGAAAGCGAGUCUUAAUAGGGCGACUAGUAACAUGGUGUAGACCCGAAACCGCAGUGAUCUAUCCAUGGUCAGGUUGAAGCGCAGGUAAAAAUGCGUGGAGGACCGAACCCGUGAGUGUUGAAAAACUUUGGGAUGAACCGUGGAUAGGGGUGAAAUGCCAAUCGAACGCGGAGAUAGCUGGUACUCCCCGAAAUAGCUUUAGGGCUAGCCUCAGGGAAGAUUAUAGACGGUAGAGCACUGAUCUGGCAAGGGGGCGUAAAGCCUACCGACCCUAGUCAAACUUCGAAUGGCUAUAAUUAAGACCCUGGGAGUCAGACUGCGAGUGAUAAGACCCGUAGUCAAGAGGGAAACAGCCCAGACCGCCGACUAAGGUCCCCAAUGCUGUACUAAGUGGAAAAGGAUGUAAGACUUCAUAAACAACCAGGAUGUUGGCUUAGAAGCAGCCAUCAUUAAAAGAGUGCGUAAUAGCUCACUGGUCGAGAGGCCUUGCGCCGAAGAUGUCCGGGGCUCAAGUACAGAACCGAAGUCGCGGCAGGAUUAUAUAAUUCUGGGUAGGGGAGCGUUGUAUAUCCGACUGAAGGUGUACCGGAAGGAGCGCUGGAGGAUAUACAAGAGAGAAUGCCGGUAUGAGUAGCGAAAAGAACAGUGAGAAUCUGUUCCACCGAAAGCCUAAGGUUUCCUGAGCAACGCUCGUCGACUCAGGGUAAGUCGGGACCUAAGCCGAGGCAAAAAGCAUAGGCGAUGGACAACAGGUUAAUAUUCCUGUACCGCUUCAAAUCGUUUGAGCAAUGGAGUGACACAGAAGGUAGCUUGAGCACGCGAUUGGAUGUGCGUGUCGAAGGUGGUAGGUUGCAGUAUAGGCAAAUCCGUACUGUAUAAGACCGAGAACUGAUAGAUAGACGAUACUUCGGUAAAGUCAAAUUCAAGUGAGCCAUGCUGUCGAGAAAAGCUUCUAGUGAGAGAUGAGGCGCCCGUACCGAAACCGACACAGGUAGGCGGGGAGAGAAUCCUAAGGUGCGCGGGACAACCCUCGUUAAGGAACUCGGCAAAUUGUAUCCGUAACUUAGGGAUAAGGAUAGCCGGAGGAUGUGAAGGGAUUUACUUCUGGAGCGUCAGCCGGUGGCACAAGAGAGGCCCAAGCGACUGUUUAGCACAAACACAGGUGCCUGCAAAAGAGAAAUCUGACGUAUAGGUGCUGACACCUGCCCGGUGCUGGAAGGUUAAGAGGAGGGCUUAGAGGCAACUCGAAGGCUUGAAUUGAAGCCCCAGUAAACGGCGGCCGUAACUAUAACGGUCCUAAGGUAGCGAAAUUCCUUGUCGGGUAAG
rnacentral:rRNA from 1 species